CAUUGGGGACUUCAAGUAGAUUUUGUUCACGAUCUGAGCCGUGGAGAUGAUCAGUGUGACCACCUUAGUGGUGGUGGUCCUGGUGAAGCUAGGAAUUGGGAAGUACUAUUUUGUUGGAUUAAGUGUCGUCCCAUCCUUAAUUUCUCACGUGGUUGCAGGGGUUUUUCUAGACGAAAAACAUGCCGUCUAGGUUGUUGAGAGCAGCUUCGUGAUUUGCAAUUGCAAUCGGGUGUCUGAGUAAGAUCGGACAAAGCAGUCCUUGAGACGACGGCGUUGAGAGGGGCUCUCUAGAUGAGGCUACUCCAGACGAGGAAUAGGCGCAACAAAUUUUUUUUUGAACGGCAAUUUUUUUUUAUUAAUCUUUGAAAUUGUUACAAAAAUUAAAAAGAUAAGAGACGACGACAUCAAAUCCUAAGCAAAGCUAAAACUAUCCUAUGCCCCAAAUACAUGAUUCCAAAGCAAGAAAAGGAGGACAACUAAAAGGAUUGAAAUUUCAAAUGGCAGAAUCACUUUUUAAAAUUUUUUGUCCCAUGAUAGAACUGAAAAGUCACUGGCAAAAACCAAAAAAAAAAAAAAAAACUUUUUUACUCCAUGUGCGUCACAAGGAUAUAUAAAUAUAUAUAGCUACCUGAAUUUGAUAAAACAUUAGUACUAUAUAGUAUUAAAAAAAAAAAAAAAAGUGAAAAGACACCAGACC